ACAGCAGUAGCCACGGUAAUACGAAGGGUGCAAGCGUUACUCGGAAUUACUGGGCGUAAAGCGUGCGUAGGUGGUGGUUUAAGUCCGCUGUGAAAGCCCUGGGCUCAACCUGGGAAUUGCAGUGGAUACUGGAUCACUAGAGUGUGGUAGAGGAUAGUGGAAUUUCCGGUGUAGCAGUGAAAUGCGUAGAGAUCGGAAGGAACAUCUGUGGCGAAGGCGACUAUCUGGGCCAACACUGACACUGAGGCACGAAAGCGUGGGGAGCAAACAGGAUUAGAUACCCCGGUAGUCCCUGUCUCUUAUAC
rnacentral:rRNA from 1 species